GUACAGCUUCUAUCACUGGUUCUGCAUGAUGCUGAAGAAGUAAAGGGAACCAUGUUUGCAAAAAUGAGCUAAUGUUGGAAAAUUUAUCACCCCCAAAGUUGAGUCUCCGGGGCUCGCUCUCAACACAUUGGAGUA
ensembl:snoRNA SNORA66 Small nucleolar RNA SNORA66